CCUACGGGGGGCUGCAGUGGGGAAUAUUGGACAAUGGGCGCAAGCCUGAUCCAGCAAUGCCGCGUGUGUGAAGAAGGCCUGCGGGUUGUAAAGCACUUUAAGCAGGAAAGAAGGGGUGAAAGUUAAUACCUUUCAUCAUUGACGUUACCUGCAGAAUAAGCACCGGCUAACUCCGUGCCAGCAGCCGCGGUAAUAAGGAGGGUGCGAGCGUUAAUCGGAACUACUGGGCGUGGUUUGAUCAUACGCUGGUGAAAGCCCUGGGCUUAACCUGGGAACUGCGGUGGAUACGGUCGGGCUAGAGUGUGGUAGAGGGGAGUGGAAUUUCCGGUGUAGCAGUGAAAUGCGUAGAGAUCGGAAGGAACACCAGUGGCGAAGGCGGCUCCCUGGACUAACACUGACGCUGAGGUGCGAAAGCGUGGGGAGCAAACAGGAUUAGAUACCCGGGUAGUC
rnacentral:rRNA from 1 species